GACGAAGUCUUGUUGUGGACCGGGACAGCGACCCGGCGAGGAAGCGGGCCCUUGGGCCUAGUCCCGAGGGCUGCGCGGGGCAGCGGGCUGUAACCUAAGCAGGAGCUGAACUCGGGGGCCCGGGGAGGCGGCAGAGAAAGCGAGGCGGGGAGCCCAGCGCCGCCGCGGUGCACCACUCACCUGUCCCUGGGGAAUUGGGAAGACCCCUCUCCCAAGCCUCAUCAAUCAGAACAAGACUUAGAAGAAAAAUAAUGAAGUGGAGUCCUCCCAAAUGAGAGCAGUCCUUGAAGCCUAAUGUCACUGAUUUGACUAAUAUUAGCCAAGGCAGGCAAAGUCAAGUCACAACAGGCUGACUGGCAAUGAACCCCAUCUCUGAGAGUGGAAGUCCGGCGGACCCAUGUAAGCUCAUGGGCUCAGCUUCAGAAUGUCAUGGGAGCUUCGUGGCCAUCGAGAUCUUGCUUCCAAACAUAUCCUCUAUUUGGCUCAAAUAAAUUUGUGUAAAAAUUCAGAAAAAUAUGGUCUUUGACCAUGUAAUUAAGUUAAAGAUCUUGUGAUGAGAUCAUCCUUCAUUAGCUAGAUGGACCAUAUAUCCAGUGACAGAUGUCCUUGUAAGAAAGAGACAAAGGGAGAUUUGAGACACAGAGGAGAAGGCCAUGUGCAGAUGGAGGCAGAGAUCAGAGUGAUGCAGCCACAGGUAAAGAACGGUGGCAGCCACCAAAAACAGAAAAGCAAAGGAUUCUCCCUAGGGCUUCUGUAGGAAAUAGGCCCUGCCUGCACCUUGACUUCAGACUUUUUACUCCCAGAACUGUGAAAGAAUAAACUCUGUUG